rnacentral:rRNA from 1 species
ACGAACGCUGGCGGCGUGCUUAGCACAUGCAAGUCGAACGGAAAGGCCCUGCGUUUGUGGGGUGCUCGAGUGGCGAACGGGUGAGUAACACGUGAGUAACCUGCCCUUGACUUUGGGAUAACUUCAGGAAACUGGGGCUAAUACCGGAUAGGAGCUCCUGCUGCAUGGUGGGGGUUGGAAAGUUUCGGCGGUUGGGGAUGGACUCGCGGCUUAUCAGCUUGUUGGUGGGGUAGUGGCUUACCAAGGCUUUGACGGGUAGCCGGCCUGAGAGGGUGACCGGCCACAUUGGGACUGAGAUACGGCCCAGACUCCUACGGGAGGCAGCAGUGGGGAAUAUUGCACAAUGGGCGGAAGCCUGAUGCAGCAACGCCGCGUGCGGGAUGACGGCCUUCGGGUUGUAAACCGCUUUCGCCUGUGACGAAGCGUGAGUGACGGUAAUGGGUAAAGAAGCACCGGCUAACUACGUG